GGCUAGCCCAGCUGGUUGUGUGCGCGUUUGUUGUGUGGGAGGUCGCGGGUUCGAAUCCGGUUGAAGUCC
rnacentral:tRNA from 1 species